rnacentral:piRNA from 1 species
UAUGCUGCACAAAGACCGGGGAAGCCUGAUA